UGGUAGGAUAGAGGCCUACCAUGGUGGUAACGGGUAACGGGGUGUUAGGGCACGACACCGGAGAGGGAGCCUGAGAAACGGCUACCACAUCCAAGGAUGGCAGCAGGCGCGCAAAUUACCCAAUCCCGACACGGGGAGGUAGUGACAAUAAAUAACAAUACGGGGUUCUUUCGGAUCUCGUAAUUGGAAUGAGUACAAUUUAAAUCUCUUAACGAGGAACAAUUGGAGGGCAAGUCUGGUGCCAGCAGCCGCGGUAAUUCCAGCUCCAAUAGCGUAUAUUAAAGUUGUUGCAGUUAAAAAGCUCGUAGUUGAAUUUCGGGGUUAGUAGGUUGGUCAUGCCUCUGGUAUGUACUGGUCUCACUGAUUCCUCCUUCCUGAUGAACCGUAAUGCCAUUAAUUUGGUGUUGCGGGGAAUUUGGACUGUUACUUUGAAAAAAUUAGAGUGUUUAAAGCAAGCUAACGCUUGAAUACAUUAGCAUGGAAUAAUGAAAUAGGACGUUCGAUCCUAUUUUGUUGGUUUCUAGGAUUGACGUAAUGAUUAAUAGGGAUAGUUGGGGGCAUUAGUAUUCAAUUGUCAGAGGUGAAAUUCUUGGAUUUAUUGAAGACUAACUACUGCGAAAGCAUUUGCCAAGGAUGUUUUCAUUAAUCAAGAACGAAAGUUAGGGGAUCGAAGACGAUCAGAUACCGUCGUAGUCUUAACCAUAAACUAUGCCGACUAGGGAUCGGAUGAUGUAAUUUU
rnacentral:rRNA from 1 species